AGAGUUUGAUCCUGGCUCAGGAUGAACGCUAGCGGCAGGCUUAACACAUGCAAGUCGAGAGGCAUCGGGAGGGAAGCUUGCUUUCCUUGCCGGCGACCGGCGCACGGGUGAGUAACACGUAUGCAACCUGCCCUCUUCAGGGGGACAACCUUCCGAAAGGGAGGCUAAUCCCGCGUAUAUCGGUUUCGGGCAUCCGAGAUCGAGGAAAGAUUCAUCGGAAGAGGAUGGGCAUGCGGCGCAUUAGCUAGACGGCGGGGUAACGGCCCACCGUGGCGACGAUGCGUAGGGGUUCUGAGAGGAAGGUCCCCCACACUGGUACUGAGACACGGACCAGACUCCUACGGGAGGCAGCAGUGAGGAAUAUUGGUCAAUGGGAGAGAUCCUGAACCAGCCAAGCCGCGUGAGGGAAGACGGCCCUAUGGGUUGUAAACCUCUUUUGUCGGAGAACAAAACCCGGGACGAGUCCCGGACUGCGUGUAUCCGAAGAAAAAGCAUCGGCUAACUCCGUGCCAGCAGCCGCGGUAAUACGGAGGAUGCGAGCGUUAUCCGGAUUUAUUGGGUUUAAAGGGUGCGUAGGCGGUCCGUUAAGUCAGCGGUAAAAUUGCGGGGCUCAACCCCGUCGAGCCGUUGAAACUGGCAGACUUGAGUUGGCGAGAAGUACGCGGAAUGCGCGGUGUAGCGGUGAAAUGCAUAGAUAUCGCGCAGAACUCCGAUUGCGAAGGCAGCGUACCGGCGCCAGACUGACGCUGAGGCACGAAAGCGUGGGGAUCGAACAGGAUUAGAUACCCUGGUAGUCCACGCAGUAAACGAUGAAUGCUGGUUGUCCGGGUCGAAUGAGACCUGGGCGGCGAAACGAAAG
rnacentral:rRNA from 1 species